rnacentral:tRNA from 1 species
GGGAAAGUAGCUUAUUGGUAAAGUGCUUGCCUUGCAUGCAUGAGGCCCUGGGUUUGAUUCCUCAGCACCA